rnacentral:rRNA from 1 species
GUCGUAACAAGGUCUCCGUAGGUGAACCUGCGGAGGGAUCAUUACACAAAUAUGAAGGCGGGCUGGAACCUCUCGGGGUUACAGCCUUGCUGAAUUAUUCACCCUUGUCUUUUGCGUACUUCUUGUUUCCUUGGUGGGUUCGCCCACCACUAGGACAAACAUAAACCUUUUGUAAUUGCAAUCAGCGUCAGUAACAAAUUAAUAAUUACAACUUUCAACAACGGAUCUCUUGGUUCUGGCAUCGAUGAAGAACGCAGCGAAAUGCGAUAAGUAGUGUGAAUUGCAGAAUUCAGUGAAUCAUCGAAUCUUUGAACGCACAUUGCGCCCUUUGGUAUUCCAAAGGGCAUGCCUGUUCGAGCGUCAUUUGUACCCUCAAGCUUUGCUUGGUGUUGGGCGUCUUGUCUCUAGCUUUGCUGGAGACUCGCCUUAAAGUAAUUGGCAGCCGGCCUACUGGUUUUGGAGCGCAGCACAAGUCGCACUCUCUAUCAGCAAAGGUCUAGCAUCCAUUAAGCCUUUUUUUCAACUUUUGACCUCGGAUCAGGUAGGGAUACCCGCUGAACUUAAGC